rnacentral:rRNA from 1 species
GACGAACCACACGAACGUUAUUCGGAAUUACUGGGCGUAAAGGCUCGUAGGCGGCCAACUAAGUCGGAUGUGAAAUCCCCAGGCUUAACCUGGGAACUGCAUCCGAUACUGGAUGGCUUGAAUCCGGGAGAGGGAUGCAGAAUUCCAGGUGUAGCGGUGAAAUGCGUAGAUAUCUGGAGGAAUACCGGUGGCGAAGGCGGCAUCCUGGACCGGCAUUGACGCUGAUGAGCGAAAGCUAGGGGAGCAAACGGG